UGCUGAAUGCUUUUGUUAAUUAAUGCUUGCUUGCUCAUUAAUGGGCUGAGUGAUUAAGGUUAGUCAGCUCUUGGUAAGGGAGUGACUAACCGGUUAUGAUAUUGUUAUUUAGUUUUAUUGAUUGUAGUACUUGUAGUCUUAGGCCAUAUAGGCCGGAUUACUUGAGCUAGUGGUUAGUGUUGUAGAGUUAGAGAGUGGUGUCAUACAGUAUGUGCGUAACCCGCCCAUGCUGGGCUUGUUUAGGGGUUGAUUAGUGUUUCCUCGACCUCGUACCCAGCAGGUUCAAGGUAAUCCCUUAUUUGCUGGAUCGAGAACACUCAGAGAGGCGGGGUCAUGGCCUAUGGCUGAGUGGUUACACGACGGGGUAGGGACCGGCAGUGACCCGAACGUACUGUGGGCCGCAAUCGUCGUGUGAGAACCGGCAGUGGCCCGAAUGUACUGGGGCUGUCACGCGGUGACCCGAACGUACUGUGGGCCGCGUUCGGUUCCUUCUUCUGGCCUUUGUGGUAGGGAGAUUGGAUAUUGCCGAGGAUAGAGGAGGAACACUAAGUCACAUAGGGCCGUAGAUAUAGUAUAUAGGAAUGUUGAACCCUAGUUUGAGUUGCUUUCGAGUGGUUAGCUAGUCAUUAGAGGUUAUGAUUUUAUAUCGUUAAUUAUCUAGCUAUUAUUAUCUGUUGGGUAUUUCUGAUAUUGCUUAUCUAUUGAAUUGGAUUGAUUUAUUGUUAGGUGAACUUCUCGCUUUAGAUUAUUUGGGGUGGGAUAGCGAG
rnacentral:lncRNA from 1 species